UCAGUUUGUAAAAAAUAAAAAAUAGACCUUCAGACUGCGGUAUUUUGACGACAUUCCUCAAGUGUCUCCUCAGGCCUCUGCUCAUAAAAUACUCCAUGCAGAGAGCAGUUCUGAUGUCUUAAUAGUUCCAAAAUUUUCCUUUCCUUUGCAAUAUAAUCUCAAUUUUUAUUUUUUUUUUUUAAAUAAGCUUCUCUUUUCCGGCAUUUGAGUGGCAUUAUAGCUUCAUAAUGUGUUUUUGUUCCUUUCAGACUAAAAGUAAAUAAGAACGGGACCAACUUGGCUAGAAUAAAACCAUUUAUUUGCUCAAGCAACAUUUCAAGAACACCUGCAUAGCUAUUUUGGAAACAUGCUGGUAUCUCCAUUCAGCCUUCCACGUCUGUUAUCCACCUUCAGCAUUUGAAUUUCUUCUAACAUGAAAUGGCCAGUUCCUGGAAAGUUUCUAUUUCAGUGAUAUUUAGAUAAAAUCAAGCCUUGGCUUGUACUUUCCUGUGCUUCCCAUUUUUCCAAAUCUGAGGAGUGCAAUAAAAAACCAUCUCUUCUGCUGAACAAGA